rnacentral:rRNA from 1 species
UCGCUGUAGCAAUACAGUGGAAAGUCUAGUGGCGAACGGGUGCGUAACACGUGGGCAAUCUACCAAUAAGUGGGGGAUAGCUCGGCGAAAGCCGGAUUAAUACCGCAUGUGAUCAAGGGAGACAUCUCUCUGAAAUCAAAGGUGGCGCAAGCUACCGCUUUUUGUGGAGCCCGCGGCCUAUCAGCUUGUUGGUGAGGUAACGGCUCACCAAGGCGUUGACGGGUAGCUGGUCUGAGAGGACGACCAGCCACACUGGGACUGAGACACGGCCCAGACACCUACGGGUGGCAGCAGUCGAGAAUUUUUGACAAUGGGGGAAACCCUGAUCGAGCGACGCCGCGUGGAGGAUGAAGGUCUUCGGGUUGUAAACUCCUGUCAUUUGGGAACAAGGCGGACGUAUUAACUGUACGUGCGUUGAUAGUACCAGAAGAGGAAGAGACGGCUAACUCUGUGCCAGCAGCCGCGGUAAUACAGAGGUCUCAAGCGUUGUUCGGAUUCAUUGGGCGUAAAGGGUGUGUAGGUGGCGCGCUAAGUCGGGUGUGAAAUUUCGGAGCUUAACUCCGAAACUGCAUUCGAUACUGGCGUGCUUGAGGACUGGAGAGGAGACUGGAAUUCACGGUGUAGCA